CUUCUGUAACGAGCAUGUGCAGGAAGACUAUUAGGCCUGCAAGAAGCUAUAGACAUCACCAAGAAUCUUGAGGACAUUGGGGUUUGCUAGAUACUACUUCUUACAAGAUCUGCAUAACAAUACUUACCUUGCUGUAGGUGGUUAUGGAUGUCUCUGAAAUACAGCACCGGUGGAAGUCUUCAAGCAUGUGUUUCCACAACCACCUACGUGUAACAGGGAGUUUUAAUUCUGAAAACGGAUCCAACGUCCUAAUUGAGUAUGCAACGAUUGCAGUCACCACUAGAAAUAAAACCUGCGUAGCUAGAACUACAGUGAUACCUCUGGAAAGGCUGACCAAUGGUCAAGACAAAAACUUUGGUAGUCUUCCACAGAUGAUAAAAGUGUUCCUAACAAGUUUUACCAACAAUGGUGUUGCAGUGGCUAGCAAAUAUGACUCAGUGGAGGAAGAGGAAAAAGAAAGUGGAGAUUAAUUUUCUUUCUUCUCAGCUGCCUAGGCAUUAUGGAAGAGUAUUUUUCCAAAGAAAGGGCAAUUCGAAAAAAACAUUAUCUUCCAAAUUAAAAAGUUGCCAGAAAUACACACGGUGGAAGAUGUGCCACAAGCAGGGUGAAUUGAGGGACUCCCAGGAGCCCGGCUGCCUCGUCCCGAGGGUCUCCCUGAAACGUGCCCUGGCAGGAGCGGCGGUCGCGUCCCCGGGCGGGGUGCGGGCAGCUCCGGUAACCGCGGGCACAGCCGAGG